GAGUAAUAUAUCGGAACGUGCCCUAGAGUCUGGGAUAACGUAGCGAAAGUUACGCUAAUACCGCAUACGAUCUACGGAUGAAAGUGGGGGAUCGCAAGACCUCAUGCUCAUGGAGCGGCCGAUAUCUGAUUAGCUAGUUGGUGGGGUAAAAGCCUACCAAGGCGACGAUCAGUAGCUGGUCUGAGAGGACGACCAGCCACACUGGGACUGAGACACGGCCCAGACUCCUACGGGAGGCAGCAGUGGGGAAUUUUGGACAAUGGGGGCAACCCUGAUCCAGCAAUGCCGCGUGUGUGAAGAAGGCCUUCGGGUUGUAAAGCACUUUUGUCAGGAACGAAACGGUGGAGGCUAAUACCUUCUGCUAAUGACGGUACCUGAAGAAUAAGCACCGGCUAACUACGUGCCAGCAGCCGCGGUAAUACGUAGGGUGCGAGCGUUAAUCGGAAUUACUGGGCGUAAAGCGUGCGCAGGCGGUUGUGCAAGACAGAUGUGAAAUCCCCGGGCUCAACCUGGGAAUUGCAUUUGUGACUGCACGGCUAGAGUGUGUCAGAGGGGGGUAGAAUUCCACGUGUAGCAGUGAAAUGCGUAGAUAUGUGGAGGAAUACCGAUGGC
rnacentral:rRNA from 1 species